rnacentral:rRNA from 1 species
CGGCGGACGGGUGAGUAACACGUGGAUAACCUACCUAUAAGACUGGGAUAACUUCGGGAAACCGGAGCUAAUACCGGAUAAUAUAUUGAACCUCAUGGUUCAAUGGUGAAAGACGGUUUUGCUGUCACUUAUAGAUGGAUCCGCGCCGCAUUAGCUAGUUGGUAAGGUAACGGCUUACCAAGGCAACGAUGCGUAGCCGACCUGAGAGGGUGAUCGGCCACACUGGAACUGAGACACGGUCCAGACUCCUAGGGAGGCAGCAGCG